AUGGUAGCUACCGUUACCGCUAAACCCCAACUCCAACUCCAGCUCCAGCUCCUCGAUCGAAUCGAAUCGCCAUAUAAAAAUUUUACGAAACUUCCGCUAUUUUCAACUUUUUCCGAUUUCCUUGUGAAAACUGAAAAGUUCCCACCAAUUCCUCCUCUUCGAAGAAUUUGCAGAGAUCGGCCACGGAUGUCUCGAUCUCAAAGCUCCAGAUCUCUGCAGUUCCUCUUAUUCCCUUACUCUCUCUCUCUAAUUUCUGUUUCGGUGUUGGGAGAUGAGCAUUCAAGAGCCAAAGAUUCUGAUAACACUAAAAACGACGAUGCCCGGAGGGUGCCGUCCUUGGGGAUCAAGAUAAUAAUCAUAUGUCUAGGAGUGGUGGCUGUCAUUGCCUUUUCUGUGAUCCUAUUCAAGCUAUGGCAAAA